UACGGAGGGUGCAAGCGUUAUCCGGAUUCACUGGGUUUAAAGGGUGCGUAGGUGGGCAGGUAAGUCCGUGGUGAAAUCUCUGAGCUUAACUCAGAAACUGCCGUGGAUACUAUUUUGUCUUGAAUGUUGUGGAGGUGAGCGGAAUAUGUCAUGUAGCGGUGAAAUGCUUAGAUAUGACAUAGAACACCAAUUGCGAAGGCAGCUCACUACACAAUUUAUUGACGCUGAGGCACGAAAGCGUGGGGGAUCAAAACAGG
rnacentral:rRNA from 1 species